AAGAAUAAACAAGUUUAGUGAAUAUUAUUAGAGUUUAUUGCUUAAAUAUAUUUGGCUCCACUAACGAAAUAACUCAUUGAAAUAAACAGGGGCAACAUAUUUUUUUUUUCUUUUUAGUAUUACAUUAUAUUUUUAUAAAAGGUGCAGAUAAAAAGGAUGCUACAGGGUUUGUACAUUUAAUUCAGGUAUAGAAUUAAGUUGACCAACAAAUGAGGAGACACCGCAGCAUUAGAAGAGUGUGACUUGAUAUCCACACAAAUAAGAAGCCCUUUACUGGUUGUGGAUGGGGACACCUCAGAGACAGAUGUUUAAGAUUGCUUAAGGCAGAUUAGUUAACAUAUAAAAGGCUGGGAUUCCUCCACUUAUUUCUGUGCUCAUAGAGGAGAGAAAAGUGGUACCCUCUAACCAUUCUGAAUUAUAAGCCAAAAUCACUCACUAGAACAAAGACUCCAUUCUCAAGUCUUUGAUCAAGUCUUACAUUCUUGCCCAGAACAUGGCUGAGAGGACGGAGACAAACAUUGCAUAUUUGUAGAUGUUUCCAGAAAAGGUAGAAAAAUGAUAGGGGACGGUUUUGCCAUCUUGCUCAUUUCUCCCCAAUUUGGCUUUGAGGUUAAAUACCCAGGCGCUGGCCUGUUGUAUGUGUCAUUUAUGCGCGACUGACAUUACCUCACCCUUUGGAUUUGAUUGGCAAAUCCAUUUGAUCACUGUGGUUCUCAUACACCAGCCCCACCCACCCCCGACCCUCAGGCCCGCAACCCAUUAUUGGACCUUGAGCCGUUAAGGAUCGAGCCACAGAAGUGUGAGUAGUGGGUGAGCAGCAGGUGCACGUGUCCGCUGCUUGUGCAAAUGGAGUUGCACGCGCAUGCAUGCACACUCACCCAUCACUCAUGAAGAAUCUCUUCUUCCCCACCACUGGUCCACAAAACCAGAAAGGAGGGGAACUCUGUCAUAUACCAUGGAAGAUAAGCCGUUCUGAGCUUUCUGGAAAUGAAGGGCCCAUUUGUGGUAUUAGGAUAAAAGCAAACAUGCCCAGCCCUUGUCUGCUGUGUCUAUGGAGUACCAAGACAUCACUCAGUUUGCUCAUAAUGCCCUGGUGCAGACUCAAUAGUCAUGGCUGAAACAUGGUGUACAGACACACACACACACACACACACACACACACACACACACAAAGCAAAUUAAAACAUGGCAAAAUAAAUAGAAGUGUAGCAUUUACAGUUUCCCUUAAAAAUAUUCCUAAUAUUUUUAAUUAAAACUUAAAAAAAAAUAUUAAACAAGAUUGCAUACAUCAUGUAUAUAACAGGACUGUACAAAUGCUCUCUGAGUUUCCACCUGGAAAGCAAAA